UACGUAGGGUGCAAGCGUUGUCCGGAAUUAUUGGGCGUAAAGAGCUCGUAGGCGGUUUGUCGCGUCUGCUGUGAAAACCCGAGGCUCAACCUCGGGCCUGCAGUGGGUACGGGGCAGACUAGAGUGCGGUAGGGGAGAUUGGAAUUCCUGGUGUAGCGGUGGAAUGCACAGAUAUCAGGAGGAACACCAAUGGCGAAGGCAGACUCUGGGCCGAUACUGACGCUGAGGAGCGAAAGCGUGGGAGCGAAC
rnacentral:rRNA from 1 species